UUCACUCCGAUUCCAUGACGACUUUCUCGGACUGUCUGUAGAGUAAACAAUACAAGUUGACAAGGAGUCAAAUUUUUUUACUUUGUGCAGCAAAUUGAGCGAUUUAAGGUUGUCGAAAGAGAAACUAAAGCGAAAGCCUAUUAAAAAAGGACUUGGGGCGGCUCAAAAACUAGACCCCACGACGAGGGAGCGAGAAGACCUGAACAGUUGGUUAAUUUCAGCUAUUGACUCGAUGCAAAUUCAAAUUGAUUCCUUCGAGUGCGAAAUCGAGUCCAUUUUAGCUGCAGGGAAAAAGCGCUUGGAUAAAGAUAAGCAAGACCGACUCGACGAAUUAAAAACCUUCCUCGAACGACACAGGUUUCAUAUAACAAAAUUGGAAACUCUGAUGAGAAUGCUUGACAAUCUAGCAGAGGAUGUAAAUGCGCUUAGAACAUUUUUAAGUCAAGUCAAAAACAUCAAAGAUGACAUCGAGUCAUCGAGUACUUAGAGUCCAGUCAAGAAGCUGGAUUUGAAGAGAAUGAAUUUAUUUAUGAUGAUAUUGACGGUCUCGAUGGUUUUGACGAUUUCUCGUCGGCAAACCAGUCGGCGGUGGUACGGGAGAAGAAGGAGCAGAGGAAGAGUUGCCAAUAUCAAUUACAACAACUUCUGGGAACAACUCACCAAUUUCCCCCGUUCAUUCCAGUGAUGCUUCAGAUCCUGAAAAGAGGAGAAAAUCUUCAGACGACGUCUCCGUCAAAGUCGUCAGGCCUGUUGAGGUGAAAGCGGUGGUUCAGUCGAAUCAUAGUCCAAGUCCUGUAGGCUGUCGGAGCGGUAGGAACACCCCCCAAGGGUGUCGGUACUCCGAAUAAUUCGUCUCCCAGCUCAGGGUUGUCAAAUCACGUCUCCUCGCUCUCGUCUCUGUCUUCGUCCCCCACUCACAACUACCACAAUGCUCUCAAUAACUCUAAAUCCAUAGGUAACGGUGAUGGCCACCCUGAUCUAACGGUGCACAAGGACGGCUCUUCGACCACGGGUGGUUUAUGUUUUCGGGGUUUGUCCAAAUUUUCAGUCAUGGAUUCCAGCAUAAUUAGAGGGUCCUUGGGUGGUAUGUCAACAGUAAACGGGAAUGGGGGUCCGAUUGAUGAGGAUCAUUCAAGUCCACAUACUCAGUUAUUAACAUAAUGCAGUACACCAAUUACUGGAUCCAGCUUAACCAUGGAAAAUGGGCUUAUCUCCUCUUCCCCUCCACAAGAAACGACGUGUAGUAAUAACAACAACAUCUUGUUAAUGUCAUCCUUCUCCUCGACUGAGACAAGCGGUGUGAAUGAGCGCCCCUCCUCCCACUCGUCCCAACAAUUACAACUCCAACAGCAACACCAACUCUUUGGAGACUCCUCAUCAUUAUUGUCAUCGACGAUGGAAUCACUUUCUAACUCAUCAUCCCUUCAGCAACCUUCUUCCUACAUUCAGCAAGCUUUUAAUGGACUUGGCUCCGUUACCGGGGGCGGCGAGUAAUUUAUCUGAAGGAUUUGCGUCAAACCUGGGUGUUAGUAGUAAUUCCCUGAUUAGCAGCAUUAACAAUAGUAGUGGUAGUAACUCUUGCAGUGUUAUGGGUGAC